UGGGUUUCUGAUGGUGAUUUAUAUUUAUUCAGAGGAAUAACAGAGGGUGGAUCUGUUCCCGGCGCGAGCAUGCUCACAACCAGCCGACUCUCCCAUUAUCCCACUGCCUAGUUUGGUGCUCCAAUGUACAUGGAUCUUCCGUGUGCAUACGUGUGUAUACAAACACGCAUGCAUGCCUGGAUGGACAUAUGUAUGCACGGGCUGUUUUUUAAGGACAAUUCUUUCAAUAAGGUCUUUACCCCUUACUUGAAACAGGUGUUCAUGAAAAAAAUGCACAAUAUCCCGACCGGCCGGAAUAAUUCAUGAAGAAGGGGCUGGAUCCGUGGGUCAGAGAACACAGGACCAGUUUGCCAUCCCAAGGCCGAAGGUAGGGGACUCUGGGUUUUUAUUCGGCGGAUGGAUUCCUUGUGCUUUAUUUUACGGAUUGUGUUUUUGCCUGCGGCCGCCACGGAAAAGUGCAAUAACGAGCUGAGCUGCCGAUUCCAUUUUGUCGCUUCCUUUCUUACGCCAGGUGUCGGGAGGCCAAG
rnacentral:lncRNA from 1 species